rnacentral:rRNA from 1 species
GAUGAACGCUGGCGGCGUGCCUAAUACAUGCAAGUCGAGCGAACAGACGAGGAGCUUGCUCCUCUGACGUUAGCGGCGGACGGGUGAGUAACACGUGGAUAACCUACCUAUAAGACUGGGGUAACUUCGGGAAACCGGAGCUAAUACCGGAUAAUAUAUUGAACCGCAUGGUUCAAUAGUGAAAGACGGUUUUGCUGUCACGUAUAGAUGGAUCCGCGCCGCAUUAGCUAGUUGGUAAGGUAACGGCUUACCAAGGCAACGAUGCGUAGCCGACCUGAGAGGGUGAUCGGCCACACUGGAACUGAGACACGGUCCAGACUCCUACGGGAGGCAGCAGUAGGGAAUCUUCCGCAAUGGGCGAAAGCCUGACGGAGCAACGCCGCGUGAGUGAUGAAGGUCUUCGGAUCGUAAAACUCUGUUAUUAGGGAAGAACAAAUGUGUAAGUAACUAUGCACGUCUUGACGGUACCUAAUCAGAAAGCCACGGCUAACUACGUG